UGCUUAUAUAGUAUUUUAGGGCAUUAGGUC
rnacentral:piRNA from 1 species